CUGGGCUAGAAUGCCUCUGACAACCCUAGAGAUAGGGCUUCCUAGGGAAACCUAGGCAGAGUGCAAGGUGCUGCAUGGCUGUCGUCAGCUCGUGUCGUGAGAUGUUGGGUUAAGUCCCGCAACGAGCGCAACCCUUAUCGAUAGUUGCUAGCGGUUCGGCCGAGCACUCUAUUGAGACUGCCGUUGACAAAACGGAGGAAGGUGGGGAUGACGUCAAGUCCUCAUGGCCUUUAUGUCCAGGGCUACACACGUGCUACAAUGGCAAGUACAAAGCGCUGCAAACCCGCGAGGGGGAGCCAAUCCCAAAAAGCCGUUCUCAGUUCGGAUUGGGGUCUGCAACUCGACUCCAUGAAGUUGGAAUCGCUAGUAAUCGCGGAUCAGCACGCCGCGGUGAAUACGUUCCC
rnacentral:rRNA from 1 species